GGGGUGGGGGUUAAGAUGGGGGUAAUCUACUCGUCAGUUUUCUUCUCACAGAAGCUAACUGUCCGGCAUGAUGGAUUCCUGGGCUUCCAAAACGACAGACCUGGAAGGGACCUCGAAAAAAUAACUGCAGUCACAUGCCGCGUACCAGAACUGGUUACUUUCUUGAACACUUUUAACGCUCUCUGCUUGGAGCACUGA
rnacentral:lncRNA from 1 species